GGGAGCACAGGAUCCUGGGCUGUGUCCCCCGGCGCCCUGGGACCCCGGGCCUGUGCUGCUGGAAUCACGCUCCCGGGUGGGCUCCC
rnacentral:pre_miRNA from 1 species